GAAGGUCCAGGCGUUAUCCGGAUUUAUUGGGUUUAAAGGGAGCGUAGGCGGAGCGUCAAGCCAGCAGUGAAAUGUAGCGGCCCAACCGCUGCACUGCUGUUGGAACUGGCGCCCUUGAGUGCACACGAGGUAUGCGGAAUUUGUGGUGUAGCGGUGAAAUGCUUAGAUAUCACGAAGAACUCCAAUUGCGAAGGCAGCAUACCGGAGUGCAACUGACGCUGAAGCUCGAAAGUGCGGGUAUCGAACAGGAUUAGAUACCCUGGUAGUCCGCACGGUAAACGAUGGAUGCUCGCUGUGGGCGACAAACAGUCCGCGGCCAAGCGAAAGCGUUAAGCAUCCCACCUGGGGAGUACGCCGGCAACGGUGAAACUCAAAGGAAUUGACGGGGGCCCGCACAAGCGGAGGAACAUGUGGUUUAAUUCGAUGAUACGCGAGGAACCUUACCCGGGCUUGAAUUGCUAAUGAAUGGAGUAGAGAUAUUUCAGCCGCAAGGCAUUAGUGAAGGUGCUGCAUGGUUGUCGUCAGCUCGUGCCGUGAGGUGUCGGCUUAAGUGCCAUAACGAGCGCAACCCUUGUCCAUAGUUGCCAUCAGGUCAUGCUGGGCACUCUGUGGAGACUGCCACCGUAAGGUGUGAGGAAGGUGGGGAUGACGUCAAAUCAGCACGGCCCUUACGUCCGGGGCUACACACGUGUUACAAUGGGUCAUACAGAAGGCAGCUACCGCGCAAGCGGAUGCGAAUCCCGAAAGUGAUCCUCAGUUCGGACUGGGGUCUGCAACCCGACCCCACGAAGCUGGAUUCGCUAGUAAUCGCGCAUCAGCCAUGGCGCGGUGAAUACGUUCCCGGGCCUUGUACACACCGCCCGUCAAGCCAUGAAAGCCGGGGGCGCCUGAAGUCCGUGACCGCAAGGGUCGGCCUAGGGUGAAACCGGUGAUUGGGGCUAAGUCGUAACAAGGUAGCCGUA
rnacentral:rRNA from 1 species